rnacentral:lncRNA from 1 species
ACACUCACGAAUGCUGAGAUCCCAGGCAAGGAUGACCUUCUCUAAAAGGGACACAUGAAUACCAAGAUAUGGGAGGCUUGAGCAAAUACUAUGAAUCUCUCAAGGAGCUAUGGAUUACCUUAAAAGGCUAGACAACAGAGCCACGGCACAGGAAGUCUGCCCUGGAUGCUAUCCUGCUGGGAAUUGGCCCUCUGAAACAGAUCCAUCCACCCGAUGAGUCAUGACAUUAAAAAUGAUGAAGGAAAUGGACUGGUCCCCAGACAAACAGCUCGGGGCAAUACGAUUCCUGCAUCCAAAGGACUAUGGGUUACAGACACCUCUCUCUUCUGGGAUACAACGUGUAAAAGCCGGAUUGAGAUCUCUAUGCCUGUUCUUCAACUGCUGUGGCUACCACUAUUCCAAGAGACAGAAUAAGAAAGUUAAAGACAACAAGAAAUGGGUCUGUAAGGCCCGAAGUGAGUGGUGUGGCAAACGACUGGACUCACUCACAUGAAUAUAAGGCUAAUCCAUUCAGGAACAGACUAAGUCUCGUCCUGACCUACUUGUCGUUUUUCUGUAAAGACCACUCGAGGUUUUAUCAACUUGAUCAACAGGUUUCCUUGUGAUUCAAGGGCCCAUGGCAUGUCUCUGGAUAAGCAGAUUGCCAUGGAUCGAGGUACUCGGCCCUGAGUGGAGAGAGUGAGGGAAUGAAGAACAGACAAACAGACAAACAGGCAGGCACAAGGAAAGCUGGGAUCAGGUAAUCUGAGCGUGGAAGGAAGGAGACGCACAGCCACGGGAGCUCAGCGUGUAUAUUAUCCAGAGGUGAAAAGGAGGUAGGGUUACUCUGAACAGCUGCACUAGGCAGUAGGGUUAAUUCCAUACAGAUAAUCAAGGAGACAGAGUUUGUGGAAUACAGCUGGGAACAGUCUUCAGACCGUACACAUCCAAGGGAAAGGCUUUAAUGAACAGUUUCCAGCACACUAUAAAUACUUGGUCUGGUUCCCUAAGAAAGGCUUUUCCAUUUACCUCUGAACUACAACCCAGGGAAAGGUGUUUUUAUUUAACCCAUGGAUUUAAGGAUGUCAUGUUCUCACCCUGUCUAUGACCAUCUUAACAUACAGUCAUUUAGGAUUUCACUCACUCAUGUGGUGUUCUGUGCGUUGUGAAAUAAAGGGGGUGGGAAAGAUCUCUCGCAUCCCGCUGGAGCUCCAGGGCUCUGGGCAGGAGGACACAAGGCACCACCGCACACUCUCCAUGAAGCCUGGGUGGGCAUCUGGCUGUGCGAAGCCAAGGAUCCCCAGUCUGCAGGGCGUGAAGAGGGAGCAGUCCCGGGUCCGUGGGUUUCACAGAAACCAGGGACAACAGAUUCUAGUUCUUGGGCAUCACAGAAUGUUACAGUAUACCACAGAAGAGCUGAGAACGGGUGGGACCCCAGGGGCUGUUAAGCCUGCCUAACACCGAAGGGAAAAGAGGGCAGGGGGAGAAGGCCCUGGGUGGUUCCCACGUGGGUGAGCGUCUGGCUAGCUCAGGCUGCUAGCUCUUUGGGCUGCUUGCAUUGGCUGGUGGCCAUGGCUGAAGUGUACCUCCUGGUGGGAGGUUAGACACACAGCUCCUUAAAGGGAAGCCUGCUCUACUGCUCCAGCAGAUCUCGAUGAGCAGAGACAGGCCAUGGUUUGGGAGCUUUAUUGGAGAGAGAAAGAGAGAGAGAGACAGAGAGAGAGAGAGAGAGAGAGAGAGAGAGAGAGAGAGAGAGAGACAGAGAGAGAGAGAGAGAGAGAGACAGAGACAGAGAGACAGACAGAGAGACAGACAGAGACAGACAGAGAGGAGAGAGAGACAGAGAGAGAGACA